UGGCGAGAUGGAGGAGAAAGAGAAGCUGAAUGGUUUGAGCACUAUGAAGAGAGGUGAAGCUGGAGAUGCAGCGGUGAUGAGGAUCAGCCUGAUGUGAGAAGCCUGCGCUGCCGUAUGAUGCCAUGAUGCCAAUGGGAAACCUCUUUUCUUUUUGCUGUUGAUUUGGAGAGGGCUAAUAAAUAAUGCAGCUUUCUCUUGCAUUAAUUUAGGACCAGCUCAGACAGGGGAAGACGAAAAGGACCCACACUGAUCGAUCGGAGGACCUGGAGACCAACACAGAUCAGGGAGCAGCAGGAAAACCAGAGGACUGAGGCCAACUGGGACCACAAGCUCUACCUACAACCCCAGAGACCUAUUACCAUCAGAGAACAUAAGGCCUGCUAAUAACAGUCAACCAAAUGGCGAGAACACCAGCAACCAAUGGUAGAAUGCAAAGAUGAAUCCAGUUUUGGAGUACAUACUGGGAUGUAGUAUCCUCCAACUCAGCAAUGGGUUCCUCUAAAACCCUAACACUGCUAUGUCUUGCACACUGAUUGGCAUUACAAAUGAAGACAUCAAUGUCAUGAUCCCUUCUCUCAAGAGACUUAUGAGUCAUAGUUAAAACCAGAAACAGAAAAACUUGAAUAAUAUUUCAUGUGGUAAGUAAAUAAGUACUGGGAUAAACUCUCAGUACUAUGUUGAACACAGCAGAAUGACAUUUUCUCAAAGCCAUGUUCAAAAGAAGCUCAAACAGAAAGCCCAGUUUUAAAUGACAGAGUUUGGAAAACAAAAUAGUAAACAUUAGUUACCAUUUGUGGAUGAAUUGUG